GCCCAUGCCACUUCCUCUGGCCUGACUGUGCCCCUGGCCCUGGCCCUGGCCCUGGUCCUGGUCCUGGCCCUGCC
rnacentral:miRNA from 1 species